UGUGAGGGAGUUUGCAUCGAGAUGUGCACAGAGGGAGGCUUGUGGCAUGUGCCUCGGGUCUGGGCCUCGCUGGGCAGAACCUGGAGGGUGUGGAGCGGGCAUUCAGGCCCCACGUGGCUCCUGCUUCCUGGAGACACUGUGCCCUGCCUCAGGACCCUUGCACUUGCUGUCCUCCUCUUGGCCUGCCCAACCCCAACAUAGGCCUCUCCCCAGAUGCUGCUUCCUGGGAGAGGCCGUGUCACUGCCCCUGGUCUAGACGCAGAGACCUCAGCUGCUGAUUGCCCCCUCUGUCUGCUUCCUGUCCUGUGUUUGAGUCCCAAGCACCUGGUCUGGUGGCAUCUACACAGCAGGUGUGUGCCACGGGCAGACUGUGUGCAGGCGGGGGCUCCCUGCCCAGUUGUGGCUCCUGCAUCCUCCUAGCCAGGGCCUGGAGUCCCAGCGCGAGGACGGAGCCCUGAGCCUGUCACCCCCACGGAUCUGGCUUCCGUCCCUGAUGGCUGUUUUAGCACCGGGAGCCCUGGAAGCCAGGCCCUGGACACCACUGCUCCACCAGGACGCUGUGCCCUGGUGCUGGUGGUGCUGGCAGCGUGCUGUGUGCUGCGCCCCAAGUGCAGCUGCCCCUUCUGCUAGGCAGGCACAGGGUAGGCCGCAUGGGUGCUUGCUGGGGACGCAGCCGUCUGCAUGACAGUGAGCCCUUUGCUGGUUCUCACCGUGACGUCAUAAUGGGCCCUUGUGCCCUGCCUGGCGGGCAGCUGUGGGGCUGGCAGGAAGUGGAGAGGUGGCGACGGCGGGGCAGGGCCCAGGGCCCAGUGUGGCCUCUCGGUCAGCCGGACCCGCACGCACUCACCGAGCCCGAGCCGGGCCCUGGCCCUGUGGGGUGCUGGUCCCCUCCCCACUCUGCUUCCAGCCCCUUCUGGGCCUGUGAAGUGGGCUGGGCGGUGGGUGGCUGAGCAGCUGAAGACAGGAGCGCAUGUCCCGGGAUGGUGGUUCCGGCUCACAGCAGUGUUGGGAGACAGCGCCUUCGCAGAGGUGUGGGAGGAAGCCUCCUGGUCCACGGACCCUGCAUCCCUGGGAGGGACAGGUAGAGACAGGGAC
rnacentral:lncRNA from 1 species